rnacentral:rRNA from 1 species
UACGAAGGGGGCUAGCGUUGCUCGGAAUUACUGGGCGUAAAGGGCGCGUAGGCGGCCUUCUAAGUCAGACGUGAAAUCCCCCGGCUUAACCUGGGAACUGCGUCUGAUACUGGGAGGCUUGAGUAUGGGAGAGGGAUGUAGAAUUCCAGGUGUAGCGGUGAAAUGCGUAGAUAUCAAGAGGAACACCUGAGGUGAAGACGGGUUGCUGGGCUGACACUGACGCUGAGGCGCGAAAGCUAGGGUAGCAAACGGG